UUUUUAUUUUUUACUUUCAUAUAGUUCCAUAGGGAACUAUAUAAAUAUCUACUCUUUUACCGUUUUGAUAUUACAUUAUAUUUUUGAUGGUUGACAUGACUAUAAUUACUAAUAAUUGUAUUUUACAACUUUGGGAUUACAUCCUUUCAUUGUUAUCUUGCAGACUAUGUUGGAAAAGGGAUAUGACGAUCUAAAAUGCCAUCUUGAGAAACAGACCAUAGUGCGGAGAGAGGCACGCCGGCUGUGGCAGCAGCAUGGAAAGGUCCAUUCCAAAAAUGCCAUGCUAAAGAAAUGGUCGGACCUCAAACGGCAUUGCAUGGAUCUGAUCAAAGAGGUCAGAGACAAAAACUGUCCAGGGGUGCCUCUUCCGAAAAGUGCGCCCUAAGCGUUCGAAUAAGAAGAAGGUGGUGGAAGAGAAGGCGAUGACGGAGGAUGAGGAGGAUGAUGAGCAGGAAGAGGAGCAGCCAGGACCAUCAGGGCAUCAGGCCCAUAGCCCACCUGAGGCAGUUCAGGUCCAGGAGGAUGAGGAGGAGGAAGAAGACGAGGUGGUGACCACCCCCGCCAGGAGGCAAUAAACAACUUAUUGAAAGACGUUAAAAAAAAGUGCAGCGGGAGCAGUGCGAAUGCAUGAAAAAGUUGAGGGAUGAGCUGAACCUAGUAGAGGAGGUCAACAAAAAG